rnacentral:rRNA from 1 species
UACGUAGGGUGCAAGCGUUGUCCGGAAUUAUUGGGCGUAAAGAGCUCGUAGGCGGUCUGUCGCGUCUGCUGUGAAAACUCAGGGCUUAACCCUGAGCUUGCAGUGGGUACGGGCAGACUAGAGUGCGGUAGGGGGAGACUGGAAUUCCUGGUGUAGCGGUGAAAUGCGCAGAUAUCAGGAGGAACACCGGUGGGCGAAGGCGGGGUCUCUGGGCCGUAAACUGACG